UCUGCUCCGCCCCCACCCCACCCUAAGGGGAAACUGAGGCCCGAGGGGGCGGGGAGCGCCGCAUGUCGACUUCUCGGCCCUCGUGUCUUCGACAAAGAGGCCUCGGGUCACCGCGCCACCGGCCGGCGCCGUCUCGGAGCCUCACCCGCCCCGUGGGGAGACUUGUGCCCGCUGAUGUCGAGAGACCGGUCGGGUGACGCGUGGGCCCGAGGUCCCGCAGGGGGUCGUGCAGAGCCCGUGUGAACCUGGCCCGAGGGGCGCCAGAGCCCCUGAUUCACUGCCCAUCACCUCCGACUCCAGCGUUUCAUGCCCCAAAGCCGCUCGUCGGUUACCGGCCAAAUACUCUGGUGACCGUUAGCCCAUUUCCCCUUAAUAAGCUUUAAGGGAAAGUGUUGCAACCUCCAUUUUCCAAACGGGUGUUUGAGCUUUAAAGUGAGGGCGCCCCAGGGCCCCCGAGGGGCAGAGUCUGGCUUCCUGUCCCUGCUUCGCACUAAAGCCCUUCCGCGCCCGUUCCCUGGCCGGGCCCCGCGCUGCUGAAGACCCUCCCUCGAAGGGCUUUGCUGCACCUCCCUCUGCCAGCGCCCCCUCCUCUCCUGCAGGACCCUGAGCGCACUGCCUCUGCGCCCCACUGUGUCCAGGGGCUGAGCUGUCCCUUGGGCACGUGCUGCUCCUGAGGGCCUUGAACCGGGGGCCGUGGCCUUCCUGCCCCGCCGCAGAGGGGGUGGUCCCUGGGCUUAGGGGGGGUCUGGGAACUGUCUUGCAAAGCCUUGUGCGGGAGAGUGGGGCUGGGCUUGGGGGCCAGAAAGGCCUGAGUUCAGAUGCUGACGCAGCCCCUCGUUAGCCGUGGAACCUCGGGACAGGCUUCAGUGACUAGCAGUGACCAAGCAUGAGGCCGUCUGAGGAUGGAGGGAGUCAGGCUGUAGUGCGUUCAUUGCCUGAGACCCGAAUCCCCCCAACGCACGCGCUGUGUUUUCCUGUCGAUGAGCAUGAUGGUGUCCCGCCAGCUGGGCAGAUCCCGGGACGGCUUCCUGUUCCCUGCAGGAGUGUCACGUGGCUCUUGUUGCACGAAACACGUCGUCAGGGAGAGCGGGACUGAGUCCUGGAUGACCUGCAGACCCCUUCCUAGGGCCAAGUCGUCCUGGUUCCUGAUACCGUAGUGUGGCCGUUCAGGUCCUGCAGUAACAGCCUGCCUUCGUGGGUGCUAGAAACUGCCAGCUGCUGUGCCAAGUGUUCCGUGUGUCCCCCAGGGCCCGCUGUGAGUGCCCGUUCACCGAUUUUCCUUUGCGGCUGGUCUGUGUGCACAGAGGCGCCACAGGAGGCGUCAUCUUCGUGUCAGCCAGGCGCUAGGCCCUGGGGCCCCAGGAGCCGCCAGUAGUGUCGAAUAUGUGGAGAAAGAAGAAUAAAGGUGGGCCAGAUGUAGGAGCAAAGAGGGGUUCCACCAAUUCUGAAUCAUUCAGGAAGGUUCCAUUCGUCACGGUCUGCCAGAAGCCCGAGGAGUUUUCUUGUCAGUCACUGGAUGUUGUGUGGCAGGAGGAGUCCCCAGCCAUGUAGUCAGCCAUCAGCAGGGGCUGCCCUUCUGCCUUUCUGCGCUGCAGAUGUGUUGGGUGGAGGCCGCAACCCUGCACCGGCGCCUUCGCUUAGUAGACUCUGCAGGGGCAACGUGGUGCUCCCAAGAGGCGUGUCUGGCUCCCAGACAACAGGUCAGCGUUAGAUCUGGAGAUCGUUGAGGAAGUCCCAAGGCCAUGAGUCAGUGACUUUGGGGUGACUUGGGAUCUGGCAUUGCCGGUAUUUCUCCCCAAGAUUCCUUUUGUUCGUGGACACCAGCGGGGCAGAGAGUGGAGAGUGCAGUCCACACAUGAAGAGCUCCCCGCCGCCUGCUCGGAGUGUCAUGGGAGAACUGUUCACUCAGCACGGGAAAUCAGGGCAAAGCGCUGGGACUGGGGGCUUGGGGUCCCCUUCAGCUGGCUCUGAGUCCCGACAGCAGUGCACUUGGACGCCGUGGACGGGGAAGGCCGGCCCCCGUCCCUCUGCCGUGCCUGCGUGGCUUCAGUGACCGAGAGUUUGUCUUUUGAGUUGGCAGCUGCUCAUCAUCAUCACUUUUCUCUCCACCCAUCCGUUCAAUAAACCGUAUGCACCCA